UUGGAAUCAAUUAUUUUUCAA
ensembl:piRNA 21ur-8432 ncRNA